rnacentral:lncRNA from 1 species
AGGAUCCAGGGAAGAAGAGAGUGUUCUAGGAAAUAUUGAGAAGGAGACUAGUAUACAAAGGGCUAACGUUUCAUGGCUGCUGAGAAUUCAGAGACUUCGUUUUACUGUUCAGUUUGCCAAAGAUGAUGUUAAUUUUAGACAUGAAGUUUGGGAUGGACUGAAGAAAGGACAGAAGAGGUAGGGAGUAGCUAGCUCCAGGCAGCCCUUUUAGGGCAGAGGCAAAGUCGCUAUACAAGGUUCGUUUCCCUGGCCUUCACCCUCAGCUUUGUCACUUAGAAUGGUGAUGAUACUUCUAGCUCACUGUGGUCCUUCUGGGGAAUUUCCCCACUGGUCUUAUUAAAUGAGAUCUGUCUUUACUGAGGCCUAGGUGACUGCUCUCCUGCAAUGUGCAGUUUAGCCACACCAGUCUUCAGCAUCCUGCCUUGGAUCUUAACACUGGCUGCUCUGCCUAGAUAUUUCUUUCCUGCCUGCUCUCCUCAUUCUCUCCUGUCUCUGAGCAACUGACACCUGACAUUGUUUGCUCUACACUUAAAAACUUACAACCCAGUUCUAGAUUCAACCAAGCAGCUUUGCAGUUUCUAAGCAUGCCAAUCAGUGCUGGGGACUUUCAGAACCAUGGAAGGAGAGCUUGCUUUUCUGAACAUGCAGAGGCACAACUAAGGUGACAUCCAUUGUGAGCUGGUCUCAGGCCAGCCAGCUGUACCCUGCACUUUCCAUAAAAUGAUAAGCCCCCACCCUCUAAGCUAGUUGUAGUUUUGUUAUUGCAAACAAACCACCGAAAAGUAUUGGAGGCUGGUUCCAGAUCCCAGUAUAGCUCUUGGGUGUUAUACUGUCAUACUACAUAGGACUUACAUAGCCAAGUAUAAAUUCAUGUUCAUCUCCCAAAUGAGUUACCUGCUGCUGAGAGCCUCUGCCUUGGUCUCAUGUUUACUGAACAUAGUGUGACUUACUCAGAUUUAACUGUCAUGUGUGCUUCUAAAUGCUGUGUUUAUUAGCAUAUGUAGUUCUUACAUUUGAAGUAGGAAACUGGCACUUCAAAUGAAGUUGAGCAUUAAUUUUUUUUUUUUCUUUGUGUGUGUGUCCUACACUGUUUUGCACAGCCCCGAUGGUCUCUAAAAUCUGGGAUGUCCUUUCCUUAGCUCUCACCUUGUUCUGUAACCUGACAUUUCUCCCUCCUUACCAUCAGAUCUUGCCGAUAGUACAUAAAAAGUUGGGUGAAAGGCCUGGAGUGCAGCUCAGUGGUAGUGGUGCCUAAUGUGCAGGGCCCUACAUUUGAUUAAAACUGCGGAAGUUGUGGGCAUUGGUCCCUCUUAGGUUUAUUGAAUCCUUUAUCUGGUAUAGCCAUCUCACAUUUUGGAGACAGACAAGCUCACACCAUAUCCAGAACUGAACCGUGUAGUUUCAGCAAUCCUCUUCUUCUUGACACUUGUCAUAAGCAUCGCGACAUCCUUUUCAUCCUUACUCUUGAUUUUUUGAGAGGCUUUGUCUGAUCUUUGUACUUAAGUCCUUGGCACCUGUCAGUGGUGAAAAGCUUGAGUCAAGUGAAUCAGGAACACUGCAAGUUUCUCAAACUGAGAUAGCCUCUGAAAGUUCACCUCAUUCACAUUUAAAUUAUUUUAGCUGGGUACAACCAGACCUAUAAGCCCAACAACAGGAUGGUCAGGAAUUCCAGUACAGAAAAACCCUUUAAGUCACUGUACAUGAAGUUUACUUGGAAGUGAAAGCAGAAUAGGGUUAUACAACCAACCUAUGAUGCAGAGUAGAGGGACAGGCUGUGUCCCACUUUGGAAACAGUUAAUGCUCACUGAAAACUCCCUGUGCACAAAGUUCUCUAUUCCACUGACUCCCACACUGGAAUGUUAUGCAGCUGGGCAAGGGGGGUUGGUUCAUACCUUUAAUACCAGCACUAGGGAGGCAAGAGGCAGGAGAUCUCUGAAUUUAAGGCCAGCCCGGUCUACAGAUUUUGAAUUCUAGUACGGCCAAGGCUACACAAAGAAACCCUGUCUUAAAAAAAUAAAAGGCUCUGCAUUAUCACCACAGCACCUUUUCUGGGUAAAGACUUCUUAUUAAUGUGACUUUUUAAGUGUUUAAUAUUAAAACUGUUCUUUGGCCUGGACGUGGUCUUAUCUUACACAUACCUUUAAUCCCAGUAUAGAAAGCAAAGGCAGGUCAGAAAUCUGAAUUCUAGGCCAGCAUGGCCUACAAAGUGGGAGACCCCGUCUCACAAACAAGAGCUACAGGGAGCACUUGUUGCUUAUGCCAAGGACUCAAGUUCAGUUCCCUGAAGCCACAGAGAGACUUACAACCAGUUGUAAUGCUAGUUCGGGGGUCUGACAGCUUCUGACCUCUGAAAGGUCUGUACAGACAUAGUGCACAUAUACACAGGCAAACUUAUAAAGUGACAAUCGGAAAAACCCAGAAUGUAAAGAUGCUCUCUGGGCCACUGAGAUGGCUCAGUGAAGGAGUCUACUCUAUCAAGCAUGACAACCUGAAUUUCAUCCUCGGGACUCAAUAGUGGAUCCAGAGAACCAACUUCUAAAACUUGUCCUGACUUCCACACACCCCUUCCCCCAAAAUAAAUGUAAUUUUACUU